UGAUUGGGCUGUGGUGGAUGCUGUUAAGAGUUGAAAUGUUUUCUUCGUAUGUUGGAUCUUCUGAUGCAUGAAGACAAGCGUUUUGUUGCUUAUUUAUCGGUUAAAGACAUGGUUGGUGGACCUUCUGAUUGUGUUCUUAUCAGUAAUCUGCAUACAAUCUAUUGGUACCUGAUAUAGAUAUCUGUUUGAAGUCUGUUCUGUUUUCGUGUCUAGUUUCUCUUACGAUCGCCCAUGCUGAUUUUGAAAUAAAAUCAUGUCACUGGUAACAGUGCUUAACUUGAUAUUGAAAUAAAAUCAUGUCACUAUGGUAACAGCGCUUAACUGUAACUCUUCCAUCUUUACCGCUCUGUUUUUCCUUUUUCCUUGAUUUUUGUUCUCUCCGGCUUUCAGCUAAUUUUUCACUACAGUUAAUUUUGUGAACCUUUAAUUGAAGAUGAAC
rnacentral:lncRNA from 1 species